rnacentral:snoRNA from 1 species
AACUGAUGGUGUGGACAUUGUGUUAAAAGCAAUUUAAAACGAUCCCAUGCUUCAUGAAAUAAUUCACCCUCUCUUUGAGUGAAAGUGCAUAUAUCCUACUCCUAUAGUC